rnacentral:ncRNA from 1 species
GCGCCAGACACGGGGUGCCCGAAGGGGCUGAGAUUACACCCGAGAACCUGAUCGAGUUCGGACUCGCGGAGGAAUGUCGGUAAACGACGCA